GUCUAUUAAACUAAUAGCUACUUGUUCAAGCAAUAUGUUCUUUAUAAAUACAUAUUGAUAUGAUAUUGUUUGUGUUCAAGUGUACUUUUCUUGUUAGGGACAUUAAGAUUAUUUAAGAUUUCUUGUAUUAAGUGUUUAGACAGAGAUUCCUCAUUAUAUUUUUAUAUGGAUAACAACAUUAAUAAUUAUGGAGCUUGUUAUAAACAAUUAUAUACUCAAGAAAGAAAUCUGAUUGAAGAUAUUGACAGCAAUGAUCGUAAGCUACUUGAAAAGUAAACAAAUCUUAAACAAGAACAAAUUACUAAUACAUGCACACACCAUCAUGAUAUGUUAGUUGUAAGAUAUAAGGGUAGUCAGAAAAUUUGCUGUAAUCCAUUUCUGAGUCACCAAAAGGUGUGUAGAGCAUCUCUACGUGUGAUUACAAUGCAUACUGUGUUAGAAGCAGAAACCAUAGGUUUAAAUCUUAUACCUGGAAA